CAGCUCUCCCCGCAGCCUGUUUAGAACACCUCCCCUUUUACCAUCACUGAGGACAAAGGGUGAGGAGCUGGGGUAUGAUCACCAACAUAUGGUCUGCAAAGUCAGAUACUGCCUUUCCCGUAAGGCAAGGGGAGGGCCCCAGAGAGCCUGGGGAGAGAGUGGAGAAGCUCUGAGCAGAGAGACAAGCAACCUUCUCUCAGUCCCCAACCAAAGAUGAAGCUACUCCCUUUCAGUCAGCACCGAGAGGAAAAGUCAGAGCCUCUGCCCUGGGCCAGAGCACUGGCACCUCCACAGUCCAGCUUGGGGAGAGAGGUCCAGGAUGCAGGUCCUUCCCAAGGCGGGAGACACCUGACAGAAGGAACAGAAUAAAGGAAGAUAGAAGAACCGGCUCAGCCAAAAGGUUCUGAAAGAGUGUCAGCUACGGGCCAGAUCUAUCCAGCUCACAAGAUGCAGGCCAAACCUUCUGUCUCAGGACGACAACUGAGACUCCUUUAACCUCUGCCUCUUAGGAAACACAGACACAGCAACGGCAUCAAUCCCUGGGAUCGGACAGGCCCCUAUCCAGAAUUCGGCCCAUCAAUCGGUGAGUCCACCACUAACCCAUGUCAUUGUAAGCCACCCCUCUCGCAACCAGCAUUACUUUCAAGGCCAAAAAAUA